GCGGCGUGGAUAAGGCAUGCAAGUCAUACGGACACUUUCGCAAGAUGUGUUAGUGGCAGACGAGUUAGUAACACGUAGGUACCUCCCCCGAAGUCGGGAAUAACGAGUCGAAAGAUUCGCUAAUACUCGAUAGUCUCUUAGGAGUAAAGAAGCAAUUCGCUUCGGGAAGGGCCUGCGGGCUAUCAGCUAGUUGGUGAGGUAACGGCUCACCAAGGCGACGAUGCGUAGGGGGUGUGAGAGCAUGACCCCCACCACUGGGACUGAGAUACUGCCCAGACACCUACGGGUGGCUGCAGUCGAGAAUCUUCGGCAAUGGGCGCAAGCCUGACCGAGCGACGCCGCGUGUGGGAUGAAGGCCCUUGGGUUGUAAACCACUGUCAGAGGGGAUGAAGUGCAUGGGAGCAAUCUCCUGUGUUUGACAUAGCCUCAGAGGAAGCACGGGCUAAGUUCGUGCCAGCAGCCGCGGUAAU
rnacentral:rRNA from 1 species